GACGAACGCUGGCGGCGUGCCUAAUACAUGCAAGUCGAGCGAAGUUUUUCUGGUGCUUGCACAAGAAAAACUUAGCGGCGAACGGGUGAGUAACACGUAAAGAACCUGCCUCAUAGACUGGGACAACUAUUGGAAACGAUAGCUAAUACCGGAUAACAGUAUUUCUCGCAUGAGAGAUAUUUAAAAGUUGGUUAUGCUAACACUAUGAGAUGGCUUUGCGGUGCAUUAGCUAGUUGGUGGGGUAAAGGCCCACCAAGGCGACGAUGCAUAGCCGACCUGAGAGGGUGAUCGGCCACACUGGGACUGAGACACGGCCCAGACUCCUACGGGAGGCAGCAGUAGGGAAUCUUCCGCAAUGGGCGAAAGCCUGACGGAGCAACGCCGCGCGAGUGAAGAAGGAUUUCGGUUCGUAAAGCUCUGUUGUUAGGGAAGAAUGGAUAUGUAGUAACUAUACAUGUAAGAGACGGUACCUAACCAGAAAGCCACGGCUAACUACGUG
rnacentral:rRNA from 1 species